rnacentral:rRNA from 1 species
GUAAAAUCCGGACUGGCGGGCGGGGGAAUAGGGGGGGUGGAAGGGUUAAUCGGAAGUACUGGGGGGAAAGUGCACGCAGGCGGUUGGAUAAGUUAGAUGUGAAAGCCCCGGGCUCAACCUGGGAAUUGCAUUUAAAACUGUCCAGCUAGAGUCUUGUAGAGGGGGGUAGAAUUCCAGGUGUAGCGGUGAAAUGCGUAGAGAUCUGGAGGAAUACCGGUGGCGAAGGCGGCCCCCUGGACAAAGACUGACGCUCAGGUGCGAAAGCGUGGGGAGCAAACAGGAUUAGAUACCCCGGUAGUC